UACGUAGGGUGCAAGCGUUAAUCGGAAUUACUGGGCGUAAAGCGUGCGCAGGCGGUUAUGUAAGACAGGUGUGAAAUCCCAGGGCUUAACCUUGGAACUGCAUUUGUGACUGCAUAGCUAGAGUACGGUAGAGGGGGAUGGAAUUCCGCGUGUAGCAGUGAAAUGCGUAGAUAUGCGGAGGAACACCGAUGGCGAAGGCAAUCCCCUGGACCUGUACUGACGCUCAUGCACGAAAGCGUGGGGAGCAAACAGGAUUAGAAACCCCGUAGUCC
rnacentral:rRNA from 1 species